GGAGGGUACAGCUCAGUGGUAGAGCGCAUGCUUAGUAUGCAUGAAGUCCUAGGUUCAAUCCCCAGCACUUCCA
rnacentral:tRNA from 1 species